UACGUAGGGUGCAAGCGUUGUCCGGAAUUAUUGGGCGUAAAGAGCUCGUAGGCGGUUUGUCGCGUCGGCUGUGAAAACUCGGGGCUUAACCCCGAGCCUGCAGUCGAUACGGGCAGACUUGAGUUCGGCAGGGGAGACUGGAAUUCCUGGUGUAGCGGUGAAAUGCGCAGAUAUCAGGAGGAACACCGGUGGCGAAGGCGGUUCUCUGGGCAUUACCUGACGCUGAGGAGCGAAAGUGUGGGGGGAGCGAACAGG
rnacentral:rRNA from 1 species